GACGAACGCUGGCGGCGUGCUUAACACAUGCAAGUCGAACGGAAAGGCCCUGCUUUUGUGGGGUGCUCGAGUGGCGAACGGGUGAGUAACACGUGAGUAACCUGCCCUUGACUUUGGGAUAACUUCAGGAAACUGGGGCUAAUACCGGAUAGGAGCUCCUGCUGCAUGGUGGGGGUUGGAAAGUUUCGGCGGUUGGGGAUGGACUCGCGGCUUAUCAGCUUGUUGGUGGGGUAGUGGCUUACCAAGGCUUUGACGGGUAGCCGGCCUGAGAGGGUGACCGGCCACAUUGGGACUGAGAUACGGCCCAGACUCCUACGGGAGGCAGCAGUGGGGAAUAUUGCACAAUGGGCGGAAGCCUGAUGCAGCAACGCCGCGUGCGGGAUGACGGCCUUCGGGUUGUAAACCGCUUUCGCCUGUGACGAAGCGUGAGUGACGGUAAUGGGUAAAGAAGCACCGACUAACUACGUG
rnacentral:rRNA from 1 species